AUGGCCAACAGGCUCUUCUGCUGGGUGGCCCUUUGUCUCCUGGGAGUAGAGCACACAGAUGCCGGUGUCACCCAGACACCCAGGCACGAGGUGACAACAAGGGGACAAGAUGUGACUAUGAAUUGUGAGCCAAUUCCAGGCCAUGACUACCUUUACUGGUACAGACAGACCUCAGUGAAGGGACUGGAGUUUAUGAUUUACUUCAGCUAUGCAAAACCUCUGGAUGAGACAGGGCUGCCCAAGGAGCGAUUCUCAGCUCACAUGCCUAAUAAGUCAUUCUCCACUCUGACGAUCCAGCGCACAGAACCCGGGGACUCAGCCGUGUACCUCUGUGCCAGCAGAUUAGCCACAGCGCUGCACAGUCACCCCCUCCCUGUGCAGAAACCUCCUGCUUCCCCUUCUCUCAUCAGCCCCCAGGGGUCCUGUGUAAAAGACUUCUCUGCUCCACUUGCAUCCAGAGACAUGUGUGGGUUUGGGGCAUGA